ACGAACGCUGGCGGCGUGCUUCACACCUGCAAGUCGAACGGAAAGGCCCUGCUUUUGUGGGGUGCUCGAGUGGCGAACGGGUGAGUAACACGUGAGUAACCUGCCCUUGACUUUGGGAUAACUUCAGGAAACUGGGGCUAAUACCGGAUAGGAGCUCCUGCUGCAUGGUGGGGGUUGGAAAGUUUCGGCGGUUGGGGAUGGACUCGCGGCUUAUCAGCUUGUUGGUGGGGUAGUGGCUUACCAAGGCUUUGACGGGUAGCCGGCCUGAGAGGGUGACCGGCCACAUUGGGACUGAGAUACGGCCCAGACUCCUACGGGAGGCAGCAGUGGGGAAUAUUGCACAAUAGGCGGAAGCCUGAUGCAGCAACGCCGCGUGCGGGAUGACGGCCUUCGGGUUGUAAACCGCUUUCGCCUGUGACGAAGCGUGAGUGACGGUAAUGGGUAAAGAAGCACCGGCUAACUACGUG
rnacentral:rRNA from 1 species